UACUCCCUCCGUUUCACAAUGUAAGACUUUCUAGCGUUGCCCACAUUCAUAUAGAUGUUAAUGAAUCUAGGUAUAUAUAUGUGUCUAGAUUCAUUAGCAUCUAUAUGAAUAUGGGAAAUGCUAGAAAGUCUUACAAUAUGAAACGGAGGGAGUA
rnacentral:pre_miRNA from 1 species